rnacentral:rRNA from 1 species
UGGGGAAUAUUGCGCAAUGGGCGAAAGCCUGACGCAGCGACGCCGCGUGGAGGAUGAAGGUCUUCGGAUUGUAAACUUCUGUUAAGUGGGAAAAAAGUAUCAUACUUAAUACGUAUGGUCGAUGAUGGUACCACUAGAGAAAGCACCGGCUAAUCUCGUGCCAGCAGCCGCGGUAAUACGAGAGGUGCAAGCGUUAUUCGGAAUCAUUGGGUGUAAAGGGUGCGUAGACGGUAUGCUAAGUCUGUCGUUAAAUCUUUCGGCUUAACCGAAAAUCUGCGAUGGAAACUGGCGUGCUAGAGUGUGAGAGAGAGAAGUGGAAUUCUUGGAGUAGCGGUAAAAUGCGUAGAUCUCAAGAGGAACACCGAUGGCGAAGGCAGCUUCUUGGCUCACUACUGACGUUGAGGCACGAAAGCGUGGGGAGCAAACAGGAUUAGAUACCCCCGUAGUCC